rnacentral:rRNA from 1 species
ACCAGAUAAGACAGCUGAAUGAUAUCGGGCUUGAAGACUCUACUUGACUAGCUGAGAGGAGGUGCAUGGCCGUCGUCAGUUCGUACUGUGAAGCAUCCUGUUAAGUCAGGCAACGAGCGAGACCCACGCCAACAGUUGCCAGCUCGUCCUCCGGGGAUGGUGGGGACACUGUUGGGACCGCCUCUGCUAAAGAGGAGGAAGGAAUGGGCAACGGUAGGUCAGCAUGCCCCGAAUUAUCUGGGCUACACGCGGGCUACAAUGGGUGGGACAAUGGGUAUCGACACCGAAAGGUGAAGGCAAUCUCCUAAACCCAUCCGUAGUUCGGAUUGUGGGCUGCAACUCGCCCACAUGAAGCUGGAACCUGUAGUAAUCGUGUCUCAAAAUGGCACGGUGAAUAUGUCCCUGCUCCUU